UCUUAGCAACCGGAUUGGUCCUAGUCCUUUCUUUUAUUUUUACUAAAACGAUACAUGCAAGUAACUAGCUUUCCAGUGAGUAAAUUUUUGAUCCGCUCUCAAAAGAAAGUGGAACUUACCGCCAACAUCAGGCUCAGCCUUUCAGCCCUUGACGUUUAGACACCCACACCUGCAGUACCUAACAUUAUACAAUAAGUAAAAACUUGAUAUAGUUAUAGUAAAUAGGCCUGGUUAAUUAUGUGCCAGCCACCGCGGUUAUACAUAAAGCCCAAAUUAAAGAAAUUACGGUAAAAAAGUGGCCCACCCAAAAUAGAAUAAACACCAACUUUAGCAGUAACAAGCUCGAACAGAUAACUAAUCACACUCAUUAACUUAAUUCUAUUACCUUCCUUCUGCCACGAAAACUCAAAAAUAAACUGGGAUUAGAUACCCCACUAUAUGAGCCGUAAAAAACAAAAUACCCCGAGAA
rnacentral:rRNA from 1 species